UUCUAGCCCAGAUGGAAACGACAUCCUUUUUUUGAGGAGGUGCGACGAAAAAAAGAUACAGUGGACAGCUGGACUGCCA
rnacentral:sRNA from 1 species